GACGUAGGGGGCAAGCGUUGUUCGGAAUUAUUGGGCGUAAAGAGCUCGUAGGCGGUCUGUCGCGUCGGCUGUGAAAACUCGGGGCUCAACUCCGAGCUUGCAGUCGAUACGGGCAGGCUAGAGUUCGGCAGGGGAGACUGGAAUUCCUGGUGUAGCGGUGAAAUGCGCAGAUAUCAGGAGGAACACCGGUGGCGAAGGCGGGUCUCUGGGCCGAUACUGACGCUGAGGAGCGAAAGCGUGGGGAGCGAACAGG
rnacentral:rRNA from 1 species